AGUGAACGCUGGCGGUAGGCCUAACACAUGCAAGUCGAACGGCAGCACAGGAGAGCUUGCUCUCUGGGUGGCGAGUGGCGGACGGGUGAGGAAUACAUCGGAGUCUACUCUGUCGUGGGGGAUAACGUAGGGAAACUUACGCUAAUACCGCAUACGACCUACGGGUGAAAGCAGGGGAUCUUCGGACCUUGCGCGAUUGAAUGAGCCGAUGUCGGAUUAGCUAGUCGGCGGGGUAAAGGCCCACCAAGGCGACGAUCCGUAGCUGGUCUGAGAGGAUGAUCAGCCACACUGGAACUGGGACACGGUCCAGACUCCUACGGGAGGCAGCAGUGGGGAAUAUUGGACAAUGGGCGCAAGCCUGAUCCAGCCAUACCGCGUGGGUGAAGAAGGCCUUCGGGUUGUAAAGCCCUUUUGUUGGGAAAGAAAUCCAGCUGGCUAAUACCCGGUUGGGAUGACGGUACCCAAAGAAUAAGCACCGGCUAACUUCGUGCCAGCCGCCGCGGUAA
rnacentral:rRNA from 1 species